CAGAAUCAGACACAGGUGUGUAUACUGACACAGAAAUACUGUAUACUAACAGAUUCAGACACAGGUGUGUUUACUGACACAGAAAUACUGUAUACUAACAGAUUCAGACACAGGUGUGUAUACUGACAGAUUCAGACACAGGUGUGUUUACUGACACAGAAAUACUGUAUACUAACAGAUUCAGACACAGGUGUGUAUAUUGACACAGGAAUACUGUAUACUAACAGAUACAGACACAGGUGUGUAUACUGACACAG